UUUUACUUGCUAUUUUUUUAUUUUCUUUUUUCUUGUUGCUUGAUUAUGUUGUAGGUGCUGGCAGUGGAGGGAAAGCAAAGGCGUCGCGGUGGGCACGGUGGUGGUAAAGGAACGGCCGGAUUUUUUAUGAGCUCUUUCUUUUUUUUCUACUGCUGCGGUUUUUUCUAUUUUGCUUUUCUUUUUUGAUUGAUUGUGGCUUUUAGGUGGUGGUGCGGCAGUUACGGUGGCUGUAGGUACGGUGGUGGCGAGUGUGCGAUCGACUGACUUGAGAGUUUUUAUUGCUUGAAUUUUUUCUGUUAUUUUUUUCUCUUUUCUUGGCUGCCCGAAUCCUCCCCCACUCCCUCUCAUUUUCUUCCUUUAAUCUCACAUAUUUUCUCUUUUUUCUUUGUCUUAAGGUGACAACAGAGCAAUCAUGGCCUAGGGAGGCUGCCGGAGUAGUUGGAGGUGGCAGUGCACGCUCGGUUGCUGAUU
rnacentral:lncRNA from 1 species